rnacentral:rRNA from 1 species
CAUGCAAGUCGAACGGAAACCUUCGGGUUUUAGUGGCGAACGGGUGAGUAACACGUAAGCAACCUACCCUAAAGACGAGGAUAACCAUUGGAAACAGUGGCUAAGACUGGAUAGGAAGAUAAAAGGCAUCUUGUAUCUUUUAAAAGACCUAGUUAAUAGGUAUGCUUUAGGAGGGGCUUGCGCCAUAUUAGUUAGUUGGUAGGGUAAUGGCCUACCAAGACGAUGAUGUGUAGCUGGACUGAGAGGUUGAACAGCCACAUUGGGACUGAGACACGGCCCAAACUCCUACGGGAGGCAGCAGUAGGGAAUUUUCGGCAAUGGAGGAAACUCUGACCGAGCAACGCCGCGUGAAUGACGAAGUACUUCGGUAUGUAAAGUUCUUUUAUCGAGGAAGAAAAGCAAAUGGCGAACCAUUUGUUUGCCGGUACUUGAUGAAUAAGCCCCGGCUAAUUAUGUGCCAGCAGCCGCGGUAAGACAUAAGGGGCAAGUGUUAUCCGGAAUUAUUGGGCGUAAAGGGUGCGUAGGCGGUCUAGUAAGUCAGUGGUGUAAUGGCAACGCUUAACGUUGUCCGGCUAUUGAAACUGCUAAACUUGAGUUAGAUAGAGGCGAGUGGAAUUCCAUGUGUAGCGGUAAAAUGCGUAAAUAUAUGGAGGAACACCAGAGGCGUAGGCGGCUCGCUGGGUCUUAACUGACGCUGAGGCACGAAAGCGUGGGGAGCAAACAGGAUUAGAUACCCUGGUAGUCCACGCCGUAAACGAUGAGUACUAAGUGUCGGGUUAAACCGGUACUGAAGUUAACACAUUAAGUACUCCGCCUGAGUAGUACGUACGCAGGUAUGAAACUUAAAGGAAUUGACGGGACUCCGCACAAGCGGUGGAUCAUGUUGUUUAAUUCGAAGAUACCCGAAAAACCUUACCAGGUCUUGACAUGUUUUUGCAAAAUGAUAGUAAUAUCGUGGAGGUUACCAGAAACACAGGUGGUGCAUGGUUGUCGUCAGCUCGUGUCGUGAGAUGUUAGGUUAAGUCCUAAAACGAGCGAAACCCUUAUCGUUAGUUGCCAGCACGUUAUGGUGGGGACUUUAACGAGACUGCCAAUGAUAAAUUGGAGGAAGGUGAGGAUCACGUCAAAUCAGCAUGCCCCUUAUGACCUGGGCUACAAACGUGAUACAAUGGCUGUUACAAAGGGUAGCUGAAACGCAAGUUCUUGGCCAAUCCCCAAAAACAGUCCCAGUCCGGAUUGAAGUCUGCAACUCGACUUCAUGAAGUUGGAAUCGCUAGUAAUCGCGAAUCAGCAUGUCGCGGUGAAUACGUUCUCGGGGUUUGUACACACCGCCCGUCAAACCACGAAAGUUGGCAAUACCCCAAAACGGUAGCCUAACUCGUUUAUUCGAGAGGGCGCCGUCUAAGGUAGGGUCGAUGAUUGGGGUUAAG